UGGGGAAUUUUGCGCAAUGGGGGCAACCCUGACGCAGCAACGCCGCGUGCGGGACGACGGCCUUCGGGUUGUAAACCGCUUUCAGCAGGGAAGAAAUUCGACGGUACCUGCAGAAGAAGCUCCGGCUAACUACGUGCCAGCAGCCGCGGUAAUACGUAGGGAGCGAGCGUUAUCCGGAUUCAUUGGGCGUAAAGAGCGCGUAGGCGGCCUCUCAAGCGGGAUCUCUAAUCCGAGGGCUCAACCCCCGGCCGGAUCCCGAACUGGGAGGCUCGAGUUCGGUAGAGGCAGGCGGAAUUCCCGGUGUAGCGGUGGAAUGCGCAGAUAUCGGGAAGAACACCGAUGGCGAAGGCAGCCUGCUGGGCCGCAACUGACGCUGAGGCGCGAAAGCUAGGGAGCGAACAGG
rnacentral:rRNA from 1 species